ACUCCUACGGGAGGCAGCAGUGGGGAAUAUUGCACAAUGGGCGCAAGCCUGAUGCAGCAACGCCGUGUGAGUGAAGAAGGUUUUCGGAUCGUAAAACUCUGUCCUAAGGGAAGAAACAAAUGACGGUACCUUAGGAGGAAGCCCCGGCUAACUACGUGCCAGCAGCCGCGGUAAUACGUAGGGGGCAAGCGUUAUCCGGAAUCACUGGGCGUAAAGGGUGCGUAGGCGGCUUAGCAAGCCAGGGGUGAAAGGCAUUGGCUCAACCAAUGUAAGCCUUUGGAACUGUUAAGCUUGAGUGCAGGAGAGGUAAGUGGAAUUCCUAGUGUAGAGGUGAAAUUCGUAGAUAUUAGGAGGAACACCAGUGGCGAAGGCGACUUACUGGACUGUAACUGACGCUGAUGC
rnacentral:rRNA from 1 species